ACCGAGCAUUCGGUCGACAAAAAUGGCAGCAAAACAUAGACAUGUAGCGAGAAAGUCGAAGUAAAUUGAAUAUUAAAGUUAUUAGCCGAUCAGGAGAUCGGAUCACGUGACUUUGUGGGGAUCCCCCUUUCAACUUAAACGGGUGUAUACAUGACGGUUCGGGCAGCCGAACGCGGACAGGCGAAAAGACAAAUAAAAACCAAUCAAACAAACACACGCACCUUUUCGUUAGAUUCCGGCA